rnacentral:ncRNA from 1 species
UGGAUAUAAUAAUGAAGAAACAAUGAUAGAUAGCUUGAUUUAGAUUCAAAUUGUAUUGAAAUUUUUAAAGAAAAGGCUAGUUGUCCUCCCCACAGGGGCACUGUUGGAGGCACCUGCCUCCCUGGCUCCUAGCAGCCAGCUUAGAACUGGUGCGGACAAGGGGAAUCUGACUAUUUAAAACAAAGCAUCAGGAAGGCCUGCGUCUGGUGUUGACCUGAUGUGAUUUCUGCUCAGUGCACUGAAUGUCAUAGUAAAGAAAUUCAGUGAAGGGCAGGUAACUGGUGGGAGUAACGAUGACUCUCUUAAGAGAGCCAAAAGCUUCAUCAUGUAAUUACUGAUGCAGAUGAAUGGAUGAACCAGAUUCCCAUUGUCCCUACCUACUAUCCAGGAAACCACAGCCAAGGGAACAGGCUUGG